AGAGUUUGAUUCCUGGCUCAGGAUGAACGCGGGCGGCGUGCCUAAUACAUGCAAGUCGAGCGAAUGGAUUAAGAGCUUGCUCUUAUGAAGUUAGCGGCGGACGGGUGAGUAACACGUGGGUAACCUGCCCAUAAGACUGGGAUAACUCCGGGAAACCGGGGCUAAUACCGGAUAACAUUUUGAACCACAUGGUUCGAAAUUGAAAGGCGGCUUCGGCUGUCACUUAUGGAUGGACCCGCGUCGCAUUAGCUAGUUGGUGAGGUAACGGCUCACCAAGGCAACGAUGCGUAGCCGACCUGAGAGGGUGAUCGGCCACACUGGGACUGAGACACGGCCCAGACUCCUACGGGAGGCAGCAGUAGGGAAUCUUCCGCAAUGGACGAAAGUCUGACGGAGCAACGCCGCGUGAGUGAUGAAGGCUUUCGGGUCGUAAAACUCUGUUGUUAGGGAAGAACAAGUGCUAGUUGAAUAAGCUGGCACCUUGACGGUACCUAACCAGAAAGCCACGGCUAACUACGUGCCAGCAGCCGCGGUAAUACGUAGGUGGCAAGCGUUAUCCGGAAUUAUUGGGCGUAAAGCGCGCGCAGGUGGUUUCUUAAGUCUGAUGUGAAAGCCCACGGCUCAACCGUGGAGGGUCGUUGGAAACUGGGAGACUUGAGUGCAGAAGAGGAAAGUGGAAUUCCAUGUGUAGCGGUGAAAUGCGUAGAGAUAUGGAGGAACACCAGUGGCGAAGGCGACUUUCUGGUCUGUAACUGACACUGAGGCGCGAAAGCGUGGGAGCAAACAGGAUUAGAUACCCUGGUAGUCCACGCCGUAACGAUGAGUGCUAAGUGUUAGAGGGUUUCCGCCCUUUAGUGCUGAAGUUAACGCAUUAAGCACUCCGCCUGGGGAGUACGGCCGCAAGGCUGAAACUCAAAGGAAUUGACGGGGCCCGCAUAAGCGGUGAGCAUGUGGUUUACUCGAGCAACGCGAGGACCUUACCAGGUCUGACAUCUCUGAAAACCCUUAGAGAUAGGCUUCUCCUUCGGGAACCAGAUGACAAGUGGUGCU
rnacentral:rRNA from 1 species